AGGAAGCAGAAACCAUAGAGACAGGAAGAAGGAACUAUAGAGACAGGAAGAAGGAACCACAGGACAGGAAGAGAGGUUGGAAAAGGGAUGCGGUUUAGCAAGAAGGAACACAUUUUCAUAAUCCAAAAAAGCACACUGCUGAAUGGCCCUCCACUCUGCCUAAAGAAAGCAGCUAAGUGACUUCAAAUGCAUUGUAUCCUGGAGGCAGCUACCAUUAUCAAUGAACUCCUUUGUCCUUGAAGACUUUUCAUUCAUAAUAACUCUUAAAGCCUGCCAACAGGAAAGAAACCAAGCAAUUUGGAAAACCCUUUACUUUGAAUCACAUUGUAGAAGCUGGAUCUCACCAUAUAACAUACUCCUCCUACUACCUCAUUGGAUGCCUUGGGAAGAAACAGCUCAUUGCAUAGACUUGCAAGAUUCAGCUCUUUCUGUACAGGAUCUUUGCAAAAGGUGGAACUUUUCAGCUUUGUUGAAAUUCUUAAAAGAAUUUAUCAUGCACCACAGCAUGCAGACUUAAUUUAUUUUAUUUGCUUCUGAACACAAAAAAUGAAGCAUCAUAUAUCUGAGAGCAGGAUUCUUAACUUGGUGACUGUAAACAUUAAGAAAAAAAUUAAAUAAUAUUUCUCUGGUUCCAUGUCCUAACUUAUCCUUCACUCUUCCCUUCUCUUUCCUCCUCUCUUGUUUCCCCCUUUUCAUUUUCCUUUCCUGUCCUGCUUUUUCUCCUAUCUCCUUAUCCCUCAAAAGCUAGAAGUGCAGUGGCUACUCAAAGGCCCAACCUCACUGAUUGCCAACCUAGAAACUUUGUUCUUUUUCCAACCUGGGUGUUUUCACUCCUUUUAAGGCAGCAUAGUGGUCUUCUACUCCCAGGGCACACCAUUGCUGAUGGUAGACUUAGUGCUGUUACAUUGAUUGGCUUUAGUCUUCUGGUAGCUCAGAACUUCUAAGAGCAAGUGGUCCACCAGCUGAAGCUUCCAUUCAGCAGUGUUAUAUUUAAAAUUAAUAUAUCUAUCCAUUAUUAUUUUUCACAAGGUUUAUUAAUAAUCACUUGAGAUAGAAAAGGUAGAUAAGCAUAGAGUUAAAGUCUCUUCCUUACUCUAAGUUCUGACCACCUGUGGCCUAUUCUCCAAGAAUCCCUCUCUCUCCUCACCUCUCUCCUCCAGCCCAGCUUCCCUGCCAAAAGACCCAGGUGGGCUCUGCCACUCUCUUUUAUUGACAUUCAUGGACAUUCACGGAAGUUCACAGAAGCAACUCUGGUAUGUCAAGAAUGUUGAUCAAGAGGUCAGCCUUCCAGGAGGGUGUUAAGGUGGGAUUGCAAAAGGGGGAAGGAGACAGGAGGAAACAUAAAUAUUUAAAUUUAUUGAUGGGAAAGGGAGAGGAAGGAGGAUAACAAGGGAGAAGGAAGUACCUAAUCUAAUUCCAUUACCUAAAUUCCCUUAAUAAUAUCCUAAUGGCUAAUUUAUCUAGGCUAAAUAAGUUAAGUUCCCCCCAAAGAGAAACUCAAAACAGAGUCUAGUAAA
rnacentral:lncRNA from 1 species